rnacentral:rRNA from 1 species
UUUCGUGGGGGAUAACGUAGGGAAACUUACGCUAAUACCGCAUACGACCUUCGGGUGAAAGCAGGGGACCUUCGGGCCUUGCGCGGAUAGAUGAGCCGAUGUCGGAUUAGCUAGUUGGCGGGGUAAAGGCCCACCAAGGCGACGAUCCGUAGCUGGUCUGAGAGGAUGAUCAGCCACACUGGAACUGAGACACGGUCCAGACUCCUACGGGAGGCAGCAGUGGGGAAUAUUGGACAAUGGGCGCAAGCCUGAUCCAGCCAUACCGCGUGGGUGAAGAAGGCCUUCGGGUUGUAAAGCCCUUUUGUUGGGAAAGAAAAGCAGUCGGCUAAUACCCGGUUGUUCUGACGGUACCCAAAGAAUAAGCACCGGCUAACUUCGUGCCAGCAGCCGCGGUAAUACGAAGGGUGCAAGCGUUACUCGGAAUUACUGGGCGUAAAGCGUGCGUAGGUGGUUGUUUAAGUCUGUUGUGAAAGCCCUGGGCUCAACCUGGGAAUUGCAGUGGAUACUGGGCGACUAGAGUGUGGUAGAGGGUAGUGGAAUUCCCGGUGUAGCAGUGAAAUGCGUAGAGAUCGGGAGGAACAUCCAUGGCGAAGGCAGCUACCUGGACCAACACUGACACUGAGGCACGAAAGCGUGGGGAGCAAACAGGAUUAGAUACUCUGGUAGUCCACGCCCUAAACGAUGCGAACUGGAUGUUGGGUGCAAUUUGGCACGCAGUAUCGAAGCUAACGCGUUAAGUUCGCCGCCUGGGGAGUACGGUCGCAAGACUGAAACUCAUAGGAAUUGACGGGGGCCCGCACAAGCGGUGGAGUAUGUGGUUUAAUUCGAUGCAACGCGAAG